CAUCCAAAACUUCAAAAAAGGGGUUUAGUGCAGGAACCACUGAUAAACUCAAUAUACAUGAUGCAAGCAUCUUAUAGGCUACAAAAGAUACAACAGAGUGAAAAGUACGCUUAACACUUUGUAACACUUUGUAAUUUUUUAAAUUUGUAAAUAAAGCUGAAAUA
rnacentral:lncRNA from 1 species